rnacentral:lncRNA from 11 species
CAGAAAUUCAUUGCACUUCAUUGGAUUUUCAAGGAAUGAUGAGACAAGUCCGUUCUGAAAGAGGAAAGGGAACAAGCCAUACUUCUCAUAGUGGUUCUUCAGAAGUCCUUCCUCAUAUACUUACCCUUUGAGAUUAGGAGUUGGCUAGUGGAGAG